rnacentral:lncRNA from 1 species
AAGGGCGUCACUUCCACUCUCAGACUGCUGGUCAAUGAGCCCUUGAACCUCUUCUGGGCUGCCAGAGUAUUUCAUGGAUAUCAAAAUCUCCUGCGUCAGGCUCACAGAGCAGAAGCCCUGACUGAAGGCUCACCCACACCAGCUACACGGGCUUUGGGAGCACUGAAGAGAUGGCUUGCUAUCAUCCAGCUAGGAUAAUCCACUUAAUAAAGUCCCAAGGACUGGUGCCUGAUUGCUAAGUGAUUUAGACACAGCCUUUCCCUGCACUGUUAAAACAUUUCCUGAAAGUCUUCAUUGGCCGUGGCAUGACUAUGCUAGCAGUGUCGUGCUCCCAGUACUUAGGAGCUGUGCUCCCAGUACUUUAGGAGUACUGCCUGUCUUUGAGACCAGGCGGUCCCUUGUAGAAGUGGGAUGGGAGCUGAUGCUUAACUGUAUAGGUGGGAAUACUUUUAACUCCCUUUAGAAAGAACUUAUCAAUAAGGCAAUAAACUUAUCAAUAAACUUGUUUGUUUACAUAA